rnacentral:pre_miRNA from 2 species
CCUGCUCCGUCGCCCCAGUGUUCAGACUACCUGUUCAGGACAAUGCUGUUGUACAGUAGUCUGCACAUUGGUUAGACUGGGCAAGGGAACG